rnacentral:rRNA from 1 species
AAGUGACUGUAGGUGAAAGCUUACAUCUCUUCGGAGCAUUUUACGUAGGUGCUGCAUGGUUGUCGUCAGCUCGUGCCGUGAGGUGUCGGGUUAAGUCCCACUAACGAGCGCAACCCCUACCUUUAGUUGCCAUCAGGUAAUGCUGGGGACUCUAAAGGAACUGCCUACGCAAGUAGUGGGGAAGGCGGGGAGUGACGUCAAAUCAGCACGGCCCUUACGUCCAGGGCUACACACGUGCUACAAUGGCCGAUACAGAGGGCAGCUACCUGGUGACAGGAUGCAAAUCUCCAAAGUCGGUCUCAGUUCGGAUCGGAGUCUGCAACCCGACUCCGUGAAGUUGGAUUCGCUAGUAAUCGCGCAUCAGCCAUGGCGCGGUGAAUACGUUCCCGGGCCUU